rnacentral:lncRNA from 1 species
GGGUUAUGCGAACUUACCUGGUAGUCGUUUAAGAUUCGUGUCUUGGUUAUUCCGAAACCUUUCAUUUUCCACGGUCGACCUCCAGGAUUGGUUUUUCAGGGUCUAUGUCAAUAAAAAUAAAUUAUUAAUACCUCCCAUUGUUUGUUUUCGAGUUAAGACUUACCCCUGGGCAAAAUGACCAAUUUUUGCCCCUAACCUUUCACACUUUUACAAUUUAGUCCUAAGGCUCGUAUAAUGAAAUGCAUG